GAUGAACGCUGGCGGCGUGCCUAAUACAUGCAAGUCGAGCGAACAGACGAGGAGCUUGCUCCUCUGACGUUAGCGGCGGACGGGUGAGUAACACGUGGAUAGCCUACCUAUAAGACUGGGAUAACUUCGGGAAACCGGAGCUAAUACCGGAUAAUAUAUUGAACCGCAUGGUUCAAUAGUGAAAGACGGUUUUGCUGUCACUUAUAGAUGGAUCCGCGCCGCAUUAGCUAGUUGGUAAGGUAACGGCUUACCUAGGCAACGAUGCGUAGCCGACCGGAUAGGUGGAUGGGCCACAUUGGAACUGAGACACGUUCCAGAGUCCUACGGGAGGCAGCAGUAGGGAAUCUUCCGCAAUGGGCGAAAGCCUGACGGAGCAACGCCGCGUGAGUGAUGAUGGUCUUCGGAUCGUAAAACUCUGUUAUUAGGGAAGAACAAAUGUGUAAGUACCUAUGCACGUCUUGACGGUACCUAAUCAGAAAGCCACGGCUAACUACGUG
rnacentral:rRNA from 1 species